UACGAAGGGUGCAACCGUUGCUCGGAAUCAUUGGGCGUAAAGCGCACGUAGGCGGCUUCGCAAGUCGGAUGUGAAAUACCUAGGCUCAACCAAGGACGUGCAUCCGAAACUGCGAGGCUUGAGUACAGAAGAGGAUCGCGGAAUUCCCGGUGUAGAGGUGAAAUUCGUAGAUAUCGGGAGGAACACCAGUGGCGAAGGCGGCGAUCUGGGCUGAUACUGACGCUGAGGUGCGAAAGCGUGGGGAGCAAACAGG
rnacentral:rRNA from 1 species